rnacentral:rRNA from 1 species
GCUUACGACCAUACCACCCUGAGAACGCCCGAUCUCGUCUGAUCUCGGAAGCUAAGCAGGGUCGGGCCUGGUUAGUACUUGGAUGGGAGACCGCCUGGGAAUACCAGGUGCUGUAAGCU